CUUCUCCUCCACAGCCAGUUAAAUGUCACUUCUCGCGCCACCGUUUGAACGUAUUCUUUGACAGAGUCCUGGUGUCCUCGGUAUUCCGCGUGUGACACGCAUUGCCAUAUGUUUUUCGAUUUUUGUAUCGGGCGAGCCCCUUCGGAAAAUUGCGACCGCUGGGAAUUGCGGUAGGUCUCAGAGUGGGAAACGAAGUCGAGUGGUUUGAGGUACGAAGAGGAAGUUUCUGCGUUAGGAAUUCGACCUACUCCUGUCUGAUAAGUUUCGUUGUAAAUGUAUUGGUCGGCUGUUUAGAAAUUAUCUCUAAUUAAGCAAUAUUUUUAAUGUAUAUUUAUGAUGCUUUAAUAAUAGCACAAAGAAGAUGAGACAAAGUGAAAUAUCGUUUUAUACGUAUGCUACUAAUAACGUUCAUUUGUGAUUAUUUUAAUAGAUACGUUGGAAGAAUUUGUAAAGCUAGUCGAUGGUGAAGUAAAAUACUUAAUAUUUAACGAGAAAAUUUUGACAUAUUUUAAAGCGUAGAAUAUUUACAUUAUAAAUUUCACAGGAUGAAAGUAUAUAAAACAAAUUUACGCAAGGUAACGACACAAUUUUCUUUCACAUCCUACUACACUGUACAAAAUCGGACUAAGUCCUAUCACUUGGUAUUUCGAAACAAUGGUUCCACUGUUUCGAAACAAUUGCCAUUCACAACGUCGACAGCUACUCUUCCUCUCAGAAAGCUUUUAACACUUUGUAACAGAAUUUACAACAAGACCGGGUAUACGUUUAAUCUUUGAUUGGUAUGACGAUGAAGAAAGAGGAAGAACGAGUGACGUAACCGUGGGAACUUAUGGAAGAGAGUGAUUGUCCCUCGAGGCAUAAAGAGAUUUUAAUUACACGUAUAUUCUUAUAAAAGCCUAGUUAUACUUUUUAUGAAAAAAGGUUCCUCGUUUCAAGUACUCGGUUCUUACCAUCGAUGAAUGGAAAGAGGUUUGUAAUUGAUCUAAUAAGAAGACCGAAAUUAUUUAGAUACGCUGUAUCAACGAAUAGUUCAAUUAAAUGGUUUAAUGGUCAUCGAUAAUGAGCGGAUGUUUUGUACGUGCUGUCACUUGCCAAGAAGCUGUUGGCACUUUUGCAAGGGACUAUCGGUAAACGAACGAAGCUGAAUUAUUGCCGACGAGAGACUCACGUUUAUCCAAAGGGAAUCGACGGAGUCGCCUACGCGAUGCUAAUUGCUUCGAGAAUAUCAUCGAUCCAUAUCAAAAUCUUGGAAGAACAGAAAUUAGAAACGUUGUCUCAAAAAUAGCUACGCUGACUAAUGGACGAACUAGACGCAAGUCGGAAUACAAAUUAGGAGACCACGCAUAUGCUUCGUUUAAAGAUAUGGCUACGAAUACUAUGACACGACCUACUACAGGUCGCUUCAGAAGAAAUUACUCUGACAGAGUGUAAGUUACCGCGGAGAUGUUUCCAUAAAUCGUUGCUCUUACCCACUAGUAUACGUAAAAUCGAACAAAAUAGUCCAUUAUAUACGUAAACAUACAAAAUUUAACAGAAUCGUAAACUUCUUUACGACAAUCGUAAAAUUACGGACAAGAAAAUAUCGUUUAGAAAUUAAGAUCUACGCUUACGAAAGAAAAAUCUGUACCGGUUCAGAACUUGGACAAAUUAAAAAGAAUUCAAAGCCACGAUUAAAAAUUAACUCACUGCUUAACCAACGUAAACGUAUUCGAAAAUAAACUGACCGAAACUGAAAUAAAUUGAUAAACAGACCGAUACAAUGCGUCACUGCUACGUAAUACCGACGAAACAUCGCGUGCCAACAUAAGACGAGAGUGUAGAUUUCAUUGAGAAAUCGUCAAAGUGUACCGAAACAAAUGUUUCCGAUGAAACAUCCAGAGUACCGCUCUAUCCUGACAUUUAGCAUUUGCUAAAUGAUAAAAUUUUGGAAUCUUCCGAUCGAUCUGAAUUUCGAGACAGAAAAAUGUCAGUAGUGGCAAUCAUGAACGAGCCCCGGCAGGUGCUUCGUCACACUUAUAAAUAGGCUGGACAUCGUCGUCUAUUCCUCCUACACGGUUCAACAUAGAAGUAUGCAGAUCACACGCAUACAGGGGCACCUGUGCGUGAACGAUCAAUAAAGACUGAUCCAUAACCUUUGCACGAUGAAUUUCAUGAAUCUAGUCUGUUCCAAAAGAGUUUGUACGCGAACCGAUUCAUAUGCAAAUUGCAUUCUUGCCAAUUUUUUGCGGUAGGUCCGGCACAUAGUUCGAAAUACGCGAGUUAAAAAAAAAUUUCAUGUUCGAGAGGAUUAAAACUGAGUUUUUAAAUGUUCCAGUGCAAUUUUUAUUGCGUGGCACUCAUAGUAUUCCAGUAACUUGUACAUCUCAGAACUCAUCUAACAUCGAUAGUUUAUAAAUAAUAUUACAAUGAUUUAUGAUAUUUCUAUGUUGCGAUUUUGUGGAAACUAACCGACUCUUCGGAUGAUUUUGAAUUCGAUAGUCGAUUUCUCCGAUAUUUAAUAUUCUAAUAUUUUGUUAUUUUAGCAUUUUAUUAAUCUGCUAUUUCCAUUUCUUUUACACUGCAGUGCGGUAAACUCAAGUAACUCAACUUAAUCGAUUGCCAGACUCAAGCGUGGCUUCGUUAAAAACGAUACAGUCGAUGAUAUAACUAAGCAGUGAUUAUUCGAACAUUUCUUAGAAACUCAUUAAAUUCAUAUAUUCAACGCGCGCAUAAAUUUUAUGCGUCUUUCGUAAACGUUGGCAAAGUAUCCAUCGUGUUUCGAGUUUAGAAUCGUUUUAGAGACAGACGAAAAAUGAUAACACGUGUAAACGAAUAUUUCCAACUUCAUAAAACGUGCGGCUUACUCGUUCCACGCGCUUAUCCAACAGAAAAAGCCACAAAAGGAUAGUGCAUCAUACGGUGGAAUACGCGACUCCAUUUGCGCAAGAUGCAAUAAUAAACACUGGAAUUGUUCGAAUGAAUUAGCGGUUUCCUGAUAAUUAUCGUAUUUACACGUAGAAUCGCAAGUUUUUCGCGUGAUCCGCAAUAACAAGUUCUUUAUACCGCAAUAUAAAUAUUAUUUGCGAUGAGAGAAAAUCAUAGGAAACAUGGAUUAUCAAUCAUUUUUUAAUCAACUUUAUAGAUUUCACUUUCCACGAGCGUUUUUCAAGGGUAGUAAAUAAUCCAUAAAGUUUCUCAAUUGGCAAUGGAAUGUUCAUUGAUUUCGUGCUUGCCAAAAAUAUCGCUUAACAUCGGCAUUGGAACAUCGGUUUUUCAUUAGAUCAUUGUCAAUGUCUAUCUUGAACGCUACGUUGCACAGAAGUAACGUUUCUCAGAGAUAGCUGCCAAUAAAAACGAAUUUUCGUCGACGUGUUCCGAAGCAUUUAAUCUUAAUCUAGCGCUCGUAUAUUUUGUGGCAAACUUGAUUUUUUAUAAAAUUUUUAUAAAAGCUGUCUCGUCCAAUGAAAAACUUCACGCGCCAUAAUUCUUCAGAAAUUCAUUGGUUAUGCACAGCUAUGUGAUUAAUACUAAUUAUUACUUGUAACUUAUUACUUUCAAUUAUCGUCUUAAACGUAUCAAAUAAGAAAAGAGAUAAAUUUGCCAUCGUCAGGAAUUAUCAUUUUAAGAACCGCGUAAAAACGUGCAAAUAUGUAUACUGUUGCUAGGAAAUACUCACUUUGAAGCUGUUGUAUCGUAGCCUGAUACUCGGCAAGCUUCUCAUCCACGUAAUCUUGACUUUGGUUAGCUAUUAUCUCCGCGGUACUGGGUCCGCUGGACUCUUCUUCCGUUUGCGAGUGAUCCAAUGGCACUCCAACGUAUUCGUAUUCGCCGGGUCUGUAUGUUCCAAUCAUGUAUUCUGGUGGUCCGCUGACUAAGGGCGGUGUUGCGCCACUUUCCAACGAACUCUGUUAACACGCGCCAAAAAAUGAGAAGAGGAAAAUAUAUGUACGUUAUUUUGUUACUAAUACUGCUAAUGAAAUAUAACAAAAUUUCGUAUAACAGA